CGAAGCGGAUCUCUUAAAGCUGUUCUCAGUUCGGACUGCAGUCUGCAACUCGACUGCACGAAGCUGGAAUCGCUAGUAGUCGCGGAUCAGCACGCCGCGGUGAAUACGUUCCCGGGCCUUGUACACACCGCCCGUCACACCAUGGAAGUCUGCAAUGCCCGAAGCCGGUGGCCUAACCACUUAUGUGGAAGGAGCCGUCUAAGGCAGGGCAGAUGACUGGGGUGAAGUCGUAACAAGGUAGC
rnacentral:rRNA from 1 species